AAAGACACAAAAAUUUAACGUGGUUCGGUCAAUCGACCUACGUCCGCAAAGGAGAUGAACAAUCCACUAUAAAUAUGAGAGUACGAGAAACAACCUCAACCAAUUCACUCGGAAUACAUGGGAGGUUCACACAAGUGAUAACGUAUCAAGCUUGUGACCCACAAAUUCUCCCUCUAACCAAAACUCUCAAAGCCUAAGAGACUAACAUUUUUCCUAAAAGGAAAACCUAUUUAUAGUAAGAAAUUUAGGGCAAAUAAAACCCAACAAAUCCCCCUUUGCCUGAAUUUCUAACAAAAUAAAUUUGUCCACCUUCUUUACUUAAUCUUCAACAAUUUGUUUCUCCUCUCCAUAAUCAUCUCCUUUGCAAAGUUUAUGUCUCAACAUAGAGAACUUCUCUAAAACAAUUUCUCCAACAAAAUCUUCAUUACUGUAAAAAAAGGUUACGGCUAGAACUACACCCGUCAAGAUGAACACCUUUCCCUGACCUGGUUCAAUCAUCGAUUAUCGAACCACUGAACCAGACUCCAUCAUUGAAUCUGGCCUUGAUGCCACUUGUUAGGACCGAAAUAAGUAGGUAUAAAUGCGAAAGCUAGCAAAGCAAACCUCAAAAGAUCACGAGUAAAGAACGUGGUUCGGUCAAUCGACCUACGUCCAUAAAGAAGAUGAGCAAUCCACUAUAAGUAUGAGAGUACAAAAUAUAGAGAGAAACAACUUCAACCAAUUCUCUCGGAAUACAUGGGAGGUUCACACAAGUGAUGAUAACAUAUCAAACUUGUGACCCAUAAAAUCUUCCCCUAACCAAAACUCUCAAAGCCCCUAAGAGUGAAUGCUGAUUAAGUUAGAAGGAACAUUUCUCUAUUUAUAGGGUCCUGAACCUUUUUCCUACAAAAAAAAAGAUUAGUCAAUUUUUAGAAAUUUUUUUCCUAUAAAGAAAAUCUAUUUACGAUAAAAAAUUUAGGGCAAAUAAAAAACCUAACAGGUAAUAUAAUAAACUUGUGGGUACAAACUUUUUUAAGGCAUAACAUUUUAAAACAAAACUUGUGUCUAUAUCCUUACAUAAACUAAACGUAUGCAUCUAUAACUGCAUACAAAUUCUGAAGGAAUUAAGCGAUAUAUAACUUGUUAGGUCAAGUCAUACUUUGCAAGUUUUAUAUUUUUACUUUUCGUACUGCUGACUAGGUCACUCAAUCAACGAACUUUAAAUUAUCAAUUCUAAUAUUAUAAAUUCAAAAUAAUUUUAAGGUAAAAUUAAUAAUUCGAUACUCUAAAUUCAACACUGAUAGAUAAGGAGGAGAAAAUAGGAAUACAAUGUUGACAUGUGAACAUCAAAAAAAUCAAAAUCCCAAUAUUCCAUGAAUCCAAUUCCACUUUAAAAAUCAGUGCCAAAAAAUAUUCCAAAUAAUUCUAGAAAUUAUUGAAUUGAUAGUAACAUGUCUAUGAUGGUAAGUAUAAUGUUUCACAGCAUGUUUUUUUCCUCCUAUUUAUGUCACCUUAUUCUUCAUGUUUCUUUUUUUCUUUGAAAACCUUGUAAAGCCUAUCACAUGUCUUAUCAUGCAUGUAGAUUUGUAGAAAAUUGAAAGGUGCAAAAAGAUUACCAUGUGAAAAAAUAAACCCAAUAUUAAAAAGGAUUAAAAAUAGUUGACACUUGAAAAAAUUGUUAAUGUUUGUUAAAAUAACAAUUUUUUGAAAUAUGAAGACGUUGUGUUGUUUUGCUUGAAAGAAAUUAAAAAAUCAGAGUGAGUGAAACUUGUAAGGACGGAUAGGAAUUUCAAUUUUUAAAUUAUUUUUUUAUGAUAAACAAUGUUUUUUUAUUAGUAUUUUUUUGAAAAAGAGAGUUUUUAAAAUCUAUGAUCGAACAAAAGUUUAUUAUAAACUUAUAGACAAUUAAAUAUUGCACAAAAAAAAUUCAUUAAAUAUUGUAUAAACUUUCAAAUCAUUCACUCGACUUGCAUGUGUAACAUUAAAAUUUAGAACCUAUAAAUUUUUCUUACAUAUUGUUUUUAUCUCCAAUUAUUUUUGUUGUCAUCGUUGGCACCACAUCAAUAUUACCUUGAUUUUUUUCAAAUUGAGAUGAAUGGACCAAAAUUUUCAUAUUACAUCAUGGUAGAAUAUAAUUAUUGUUGGUUUUGUUUUGUUUAUUUGCUUUCUUCCUAAAAUGGUAAAUAGAAAGAGACCAUUCAAUUGGUGCUACACAUUGAGAGGUCUGUCUUUUUCCACUUAACAUGAUUUACUACACUUUGUGACUAUACAUAGGUAAUUAGAUAAGUUGCACAUUUAAUUAACAUAACUAAGUACUAAUUAUAUAUAAUUCUAAUGAGUUGACGUAACGUAACCACGACUGGCACAACUAGGCGGAUAUUUGCAGCGUGAACGAUAGAAUAUGAGAAAACUGAUUUAUGUACGUAAUUUUCUUUUUUAACUUGUAAUUUAUUCAUCAUUAACACUAAGACACAAUAAUUAUGGACAAACUCAUUUCACUUGACUCGGACACAAUAAAAAAAGGUUUAUGUUUGAAGACGAAAACGAAAUAUAAUAUACUCAUAGUGCAUAAAAAUUUACAAAUUUAUCUACUUCGUAACAACUUCAGAUAGGAAUGAAUUUCAGUUUGCUCCAAAUCAUACACCGCAGAUCUCAAGUUGCUUCAAAAAUUACAUUACACACUUUUUGUUUCACUUUUUUCCAUUAUCCCUUGUUACUUUAAAAAUCUCAAAAUUCCUUAUUUCUUUAAUGUAUAUGAGCUGCAUAUUAAUAUACUCGAGCUAAUUUUUAAUGUAUCCGCGCUGCAAUUAUUGUAAUAGACUUUUAACUUUUAAGAGAUUAAUUAGGGAUAAAUAGUAAUUUAUAUUAAUACUAUGGAAUUUAUGUAAUUUGCACAAAAUUUUACCCAAAUGGAUAACAUAAAGAACUGAAUUGGGUAAGAAAUUGAAUCCUAUGGGCUUUUGGUACCUCAAGGUUUAGGCUAAUUUCAAAUGAACCUUCCAAAUAAAAGGAAAAUGUUUUGGGCCUAAAUUAAAAUGUUGAGCCCAUGUUAUCAUGAGGACUGAAGUGCAACUGUAUGGAUCUUUAGGUACCAAACUUGUUAUUCUUCUAAAAAUAGCAACUUGUUCUGGUGUUUCUGCUGCUGACAUAGAAAUGCAGAAUCUACAUAACAAUAUUUACUGAGUGCAUUUCAUUUAUUAUUUCAAAAUCCUUGAAAGUUGCAAAAUUCAAACUCUACCCAACAAAAAUCCAGCUAUAAAAAACACAACUGGCAUUGACUAUCUAAACAAAGCUAUCCCUUUGUGUGUUUUAUAUCUUAACUGCACUCUAUUUAUGAUGAAAAUAGAGUGAUAGUGUUUAUAAUCGUUGACUCAAAAUAGAUUUUAAAACCUUAUUUAAUCAUUUUUCGAAAUAAAAUCAGUUACCCAUGGACUAACACAAUCAAAAGAUCAAAGAAUAUACAAACCACAUAACAAGUUAUCAAAAUCACCUAAAGCAACACAUACUUAAAUAAAAUAGAAAGCAGAACUACAGAUAUGGAUACAACAGUUAUAUGAUGAACAUUUAUGACUGCUUUACAUGGUAUUCAAUCUUAUAUUCCCUCUACUGAGAAGGGUGACUUGAGAAAAUUAAAGACGAAGGAAAAGUUGAUUUAGAAAUAUUGAUACUAACAGUGUCGACGACUCCUGAAUUAGAGAUAAAAUACUUUUGAAUUAUGUCAAGAGAAAAAAUUGACCACUUUACUUUCAUUUUGCAAGAAUGUUGAAACAGAUUUAUCUGGCUGAAGCCACAAAAAGUUGAAACAAGGUAAAUUAAUAAUUAAAGCUAAUAUUUGUCAUAGAGAAAUCUUUAUAGCUAAUCGCAAAUUUUUCUGAUUGACAUUUUUACUCUGAUACUUUCCAUGGUUUGAGUUGGAAUUUUGUUGAAAAAACUUGUCAUUGUUGGGCCCGUACUAUAUCCAAAGGUGUAACAAGUCGACAUUGAAACUGCUCCUAAGCUAAUGAUUAUUUAGGUAGAAAACGAAAUAGAACACCAAUUAUACAAAAGGAAAAAUGAGGACAUUACCUUCUUCAGAGCAGCGAGACUAGGACCAUGAAGCUUCUACUGCUCUAACAACCAGAGAAUCAUACUAGCUCUCGAUUUGUCGUCCUUUGCAUCUCUUCAUUCUUUUGUUAAUGUUUUUAUUGUAUUUUUGUUUCUAUUUCUCCCUUAUAUAGGAUGGAUUGAUUUAGGGGGAAAACGGUCGAAUUUCAAAGAGAUAAGGUUGAAGAAAGCCGUUGAAUAAAUAGUACAAUUCCUCAACGGAUUGAGAGUUGAAGCCGUCCGAUGAGGCUACGAGAUUUCGACACCUCACAAUUCUCAAACGGCUCCUUCUAUGGAAGGAUAAAGAGAGAGACGUUUGGACUGCAGCUUUUUUCCGAAUUGAUGCGACGUUUCUGGGAGAGAGGAAGAACGAGGCGCGUUGGGUUUUUUUGGCGUGAAGAAGACGAGAUGGGUCGGGUCGGGUUGUUGUUGGUUAUUGUUUGGACUUGGG
rnacentral:lncRNA from 1 species